rnacentral:lncRNA from 1 species
AUAAAACGUCAUGGUAAGGAAUUACUGGAUAGGAUCCAUAUGGCAUAUGAGGGUCUGUUUUGAGAAACCCAGUAGGAUUGGGCUGUAUUUCGUAGUGGAUUCGUGGACUGGGUAGCCUAUUUAACCCAACAAUCCAACAGGCACAAAUUGGGUUUUACACUAGGACCUGGAUAGGCCCUUAAAAAGCUGCCAGCUAGGCAGGCCAAUAGGCCUGAUUCCUGCAGGAAUAUCCAAAAAGGACCUGAAAGAAAAGAUAAAAGAUGCAGAGGACAGUGCAGUAAACUUGUUAAUUUUAAACCCAUAUGCUACUAAUCUUUCUAUAAAAUAUGUGUGAGUUGAUAGCGAAGAACUUGAGCAAAACAUCAUUCUCCUUUGGUAGCGAAGAACUUGAGCAAAACAUCAUUCUCCUUUCUCUUUUAAGUUUUUUAAAGAAGUAGCCACACGUGGUUAAGAAACUAAUCAUGUCUGUCCAAUAGGCAGACACCUAUAACCAAGUGACUGCAACUAUUUCUUGUAGAAGAUGCAGUGAUAAUGAACAUGUCAUAUCACAAUUUAUGACUGAUCAAGAGUUUAACAUCAAGGUUUAUCACUGAUUUAUUUUCAUAUGUGCAUAUGGUUUCUGAAUGCAGCUAAUAUUGGUGCAGUGUCUGAAGGGAAAAUUGGCUUUUUCCUUAUAGGAUCUUCCAGAUCUAAUGAGAUCUGGGACGGAAUAUUUCAAAAAAAAUUAUCCUACGAUAUUUUAGAUCUAAGAUCUAUUAGAUCUAAUUCCUAUUAUCUGAUAUUAAAUCUAAAAUUAAAUCUAAAAUCAUGAAGAAUAGAGAAAUACCUCUAGGGUAACUAGAUUACCCUGUAGAUGAUCGCAGCAAUGCCCGGGGUUCUAAAAUAGCCACGCAAUCGUCUGGCCUCUACCGGUAUCCACUCGAGCAGGAUCUGGAUCGUCUUCUCUUCGUGAAUCUUUGCUCCAA